rnacentral:rRNA from 1 species
AACGAACGCUGGCGGCAGGCCUAACACAUGCAAGUCGAACGCCCUAGCAAUAGGGAGUGGCAGACGGGUGAGUAACACGUGGGAACGUGCCCUUCGGUUCGGAAUAACUCAGGGAAACUUGAGCUAAUACCGGAUACGUGCGAGAGCAGAAAGAUUUAUCGCCGAAGGAUCGGCCCGCGUCCGAUAGCUAGUUGGUGAGGUAAAGGCUCACCAAGGCGACGAUCGGUAGCUGGUCUGGGAGGAUGGCCAGCCACACUGGGACUGAGACACGGCCCAGACUCCUACGGGAGGCAGCAGUGGGGAAUAUUGGACAAUGGGCGCAAGCCUGAUCCAGCCAUGCCGCGUGAGUGAUGAAGGCCCUAGGGUUGUAAAGCUCUUUCGCCAGGGACGAUAAUGACGGUACCUGGAUAAGAAGCCCCGGCUAACUUCGUGCCAGCCGCCGCAGUAA